GGAAGGAUCCCUAAACAGAAUCGUGCGGUAGUGCUGGUUCUUACAAGUGCACACCGCCACUUCUCUAUUCACCCCAUGUGCACCUCUGCGUCGCCGGCAUCUCCGGCUUCGCCUUAUUUACACAAAAACCUUUGUAUCGAAUGUCUUGUUGGAACGAUAAUAAAAUACAACUAUCAACAACGGAUCUCUUGGCAUCCCACUCGAUGAAGAACGCAGCGAAUUGCGAUAAGUAAUGUGAAUUGCAGAAUUCAGUGAAUCAUCGAAUCUUUGAACGCACCUUGCACCCUCCAGUCUUCUGGAGGGUAUGCCCGGUUGAGUAUUAUGAUCACCUCAAACCUCUGGCUUUCUUAUUGCAAAGGCCGAUGCUUUGACAAAGGCGCCCACCGGGGUGCUGACAGUUGGAGUUUGGCUUGGAGAACCGGCAGGUCUUGGACUUGAGUUUAUGUUGGUUCCAUAUGGAUCGACUCACUCGAAAUGCAUUAGCUGGCAACCCGCUCCUGACGGUUACCACUUGGCGUAGUAAGUCUUAUUCGUCAAGGACACCUUGCGCCUUCACAGGGGCAGGUGGCCGUUGUGCUGUGUCUUGAUGGCCGCUUCUAAUCGUCUCCGGACAACACACGAAACCUUUAAUCUCAACUCGGGUAGGACUACCCGCUGAACUUAAGCAUAUCAAUAAGCGGAGGAA
rnacentral:rRNA from 1 species